rnacentral:rRNA from 1 species
UACGUAGGGUCCAAGCGUUAAUCGGAAUUACUGGGCGUAAAGCGUGCGCAGGCGGUUCUGAAAGUCAGCUGUGAAAGCCCCGGGCUUAACCUGGGGAUGGCGGUUGAAACUACAGGACUAGAAUCUGGCAGAGGGGGGUGGAAUUCCACGUGUAGCAGUGAAAUGCGUAGAGAUGUGGAGGAACACCGAUGGCGAAGGCAGCCCCCUGGGUCAAGAUUGACGCUCAUGCACGAAAGCGUGGGGAGCAAACAGG